AUACGGAGGGUGCAAGCGUUAUCCGGAAUCACUGGGUUUAAAGGGUGCGUAGGCGGCUAAAUAAGUCAGAGGUGAAAUCUUUCCGCUUAACGGAAAAAUUGCCUUUGAAACUGUAUAGCUUGAAUGAAGUUGAGGUUAGCGGAAUGUGACAUGUAGCGGUGAAAUGCAUAGAUAUGUCAUAGAACACCAAAUGCGAAGGCAGCUAGCUAGGCUUGAAUUGACGCUGAGGCACGAAAGCGUGGGGAGCGAACAGGAUUAGAAACCCUGGUAGUUCC
rnacentral:rRNA from 1 species